ensembl:lncRNA
CCUACACAGAGGAGAUCUGCUUAGAAAAAAAAAGGACCAGCAAGCCCUGAGGGGAACAGAUCCCUAAAGAGUAGAAGGAAGAACACAACAAGCAGAUAUUUUACUGAAGAAGUCUUUUCAUUUAAAUAAAUUCCCACAAGACCUCACUUUUUAAAUCUCCUUUGUCAAUGUUCUUACUUGGCCCCUGGGAAUCUUGCUGCCUUGGAUUCCAGAAACUUUCAUGUGUCCAAGACGUCGUGAUACACUACAUGAUUUUUUGUUGAAAAUCCCUUUGCUGGAUGCCAUUAAUCUAUCUUGAAUUUCGCAUUUCCUGCUGUUCAUCUUGCCUUGAAAAGUUCCACUCCAAAGAAACAUUCUAUUCUCUCCCACUCUGCAUCAUAUCUGCUGUCUCCUUCACUGCCCUCUUCCCUCAAAGCACAGCAAGCUCCAAGUUCGGUCUGAUAGAGUGACAGCUAUUCUUGAAGCUGGCUAUUACUCAACAGCUGUGUUCAGGGACCUAAACUGGAAAGAAAUAGAUCACCCUUUCAUCCUCUGAGUGAAUCAUUUUCAAACUGAGAUAUCCUGAAAGCAUUCCAGUGAAGCUGGAUGUGUUCCUCACUGUGGCUUACUAUUUGGCAGAACAAACAAAUGAUCUCACACAGCAGGGAUGGAGUACAUGUAAAGUGGAAAUGAGGGAAUAACAAUACAUGAAAGAAUUGAGGACAUCUUGAAGAAGAAAAGCCUAUCUAAAUACGGUCUGAGCUGCAUUCAUGUUUACUAACAUUUCUGAAAGUACUGAUAAACAUUUGGUAGUCUGGAAAUUAUUGGUAUUGCACACUAGUACACAACAACUUGUUUCAAUCACUUCAAACGAGGUCAAGACAUGCCCUCUAGCUCCUCAAAAAGAAACGGAUGAAAGGCUCAAUAUGACUAUAUCUUAAUAAUAGUAUUUUAUCCUUGAGGUUAGAAAGGCCCAGGGAGUUCUCUUGUCCAGUCUCUU